rnacentral:misc_RNA from 1 species
AACCAUAGAAACCUGCGGAGUACCUGCGGAAGGAUCAUUACCGAGUUUACAACUCCCAAACCCCUGUGAACAUACCACUUGUUGCCUCGGCGGAUCAGCCCGCUCCCGGUAAAACGGGACGGCCCGCCAGAGGACCCCUAAACUCUGUUUCUAUAUGUAACUUCUGAGUAAAACCAUAAAUAAAUCAAAACUUUUAGCAACGGAUCU